UUAGGGAAGAGGGGAUAGCAAGUCUCUCCAGCCCUAGCUGUCUUUUCCCCCAGGGUAAUAUUUCCCAAUUACACUUCUCUCAUCAACACCUCUUUCUUGUCGGACUCAUCAACCCUCCAGCCAAGUUGCUGCAAGGCUGAAUCACCAGAGAAGGCAGGACCCCACACCAAGAUGAUCAUCUUAGAAAUGCUCAACA
rnacentral:lncRNA from 1 species